UACGUAGGUGACCAGCGUUGUCCGGAUUUACUGGGCGUAAAGAGCGCGCAGGCGGUCGUUCAAGUCGAGUGUGAAAGCCCCCGGCUCAACUGGGGAGGGUCAUUCGAUACUGAUCGACUGGAAGGCAGGAGAGGGAAGCGGAAUUCCCGGUGUAGUGGUGAAAUGCGUAGAUAUCGGGAGGAACACCAGUGGCGAAGGCGGCUUCCUGGCCUGUUCUUGACGCUGAGGCGCGAAAGCUAGGGGAGCAAACGGGG
rnacentral:rRNA from 1 species